rfam:Magnetospirillum magneticum AMB-1 DNA, complete genome.
ACGUCUCCAUUGCGGUAUUGUAGAUGCCUGUCAGUCCUGCAUCCCGGAACACGGUGAAAUUCCGUGGCGGUCCCGCCGCUGUAAUCGGGGACAUGGGACCACGGGGCCCCUGGGCCCAGCCACUGGCGAAACGCCGGGAAGGCGUGGUUUCGUGGCUGAUCCGAGAGCCAGAAGACCUGCAGGACGAUGGUUAACGAG